GGACUACUGGGGUAUCUAAUUCCGUUCGCUACCCUGGCUUUCGUGCCUCAGCGUCAGAGAGUGCCCAGUAAGCUGCCUACGCCAUCGGUGUUCCUUGCGAUAUCAGUGCAUUUCACCGCUCCACCGCAAGUUCCGCUUACCCCUACACCCCUCAAGUUCGCCAGUUUGAAACGCAAUUCCACGGUUGAGCCGUGGGAUUUCACAUCUCACUUAACGAACAGCCUACGCACCCUUUAAGCCCAGUGAUUCCGAAUAACGUUUGGACAGUUCGUCUUACCGCGGCUGCUGGCAC
rnacentral:rRNA from 1 species